rnacentral:misc_RNA from 1 species
ACGAGUGCACUCCUUCGGGAGCCAUCUCCACCCUUGAGUACCGACCGUUGCUUUGGCGGGCCGGGUUUCCCGCCGGCCAGCUGGCGAGCGCCCGCCAAAGAUUUACACUCUUUUAACCUGCGUCUGAGCGAGAAGAAUGCA